rnacentral:lncRNA from 1 species
CGUCGUUAGGUUACUGUUUUGUUGGUGUUUAUCAGAAAUCUAAUUAUUAUAUUCAUGUAAAAAUGUAAGUGCCGUACACAUUCAAAAUACGUCAGUGCAAUUUGCCAUAUCCAUAUAUAGGCACGUUAUGUACCUAUUGCUAAAGAUACAUUGAAUUUUGAGGACAUGUCCAGAAUGAUUGAUGAUUUUCGUACUUUCUUAAUAAUUUG